UACAGAGGGUGCGAGCGUUAAUCGGAAUUACUGGGCGUAAAGCGUGCGUAGACGGUUACGUAAGUCGGGUGUGAAAGCCCCGGGCUCAACCUGGGAAUUGCAUUCGAGACUGCAUUGCUGGAGUACGGAAGAGGAAGGCGGAAUUCCCGGUGUAGCGGUGAAAUGCGUAGAUAUCGGGAGGAACAUCAGUGGCGAAGGCGGCCUUCUGGUCCAGUACUGACACUCAAGUGCGAAAGCGUGGGGAGCAAACAGG
rnacentral:rRNA from 1 species